UGGGGAAUAUUGGACAAUGGGGGGAACCCUGAUCCAGCCAUGCCGCGUGUGUGAAGAAGGCCUUAUGGUUGUAAAGCACUUUAAGCGAGGAGGAGGGUACUGGUAUUAAUACUACCAGCUACUGGACGUUACUCGCAGAAUAAGCACUGGCUAACUCUGUGCCAGCAGCCGCGGUAAUACAGAGGGUGCGAGCGUUAAUCGGAUUUACUGGGCGUAAAGCGUGCGUAGGCGGCUAAUUGAGUCGGAUGUGAAAUCCCCGAGCUUAACUUGGGAAUUGCAUUCGAUACUGGUUAGAUAGAGUGUGGGAGGGGAUGGUAGAAUUCCAGGUGUAGCGGUGAAAUGCGUAAAGAUCUGGAGGAAUACCGAUGGCAAAGGCAGCCAUCUGGCCUAACACUGACACUGAGGUACGAAAGCAUAGGGAGCAAACAGG
rnacentral:rRNA from 1 species